ensembl:lncRNA
AUGCCCCCCCCUUCCGUAACACUUUCCUGCAACAUCCACGUUGGGCGGGGAUCCUCCUCUUCCCGUCCUCCCCCCCCAAGAUACGCCGCAGAGCAGCAAUCCGGAGUGGACGCUCCACUUGCGGGAGAAGCAGGCAGGUUGGGAGGGGGGCUCCCCCCUUAUUUCCGGAGCGAAGCAGGAUUGGAGGAGGAGGAGGAGGAGGAGGAGGAGGAGGAGCAAUGUAUUGGGGGUGUGAUUUGGGAUUGUGUGGGCGGGAUGAGAGAAGGAUGUGCCGGGAGGGGAGGGAAAGUGUUGAGCGAGUGGGGGGGGAGAAGGAGAGGAAACCCCCCCCCCGGUCUUCCUUCUGGGGAUCAGGAGAGGGGGGAGGGGCUGAUCCCGACAAUCCAACAGCGAAGUCACAAAAUGAGUUCUGCAUUUAAAUCAGAUCAGACUCCGAGUUCGUGUUUUGGCAACAUGACAAGUCUGUCUGUCUGUCCGUCGGGAUGCCUGAGGAUUCCUGCUCGCUGCCUUUUCCUGGCCAGCCUGAGAGAUCACUGGAAAGGGAGGAUUUCUUGACUCCAGAAUCCAUCACAGCAGACCCCUUUCAUUCAGGCCUAGAGAUCUGCUCUUUGGACCAGUCUGCUUGGAUCAUGGGGAUCAUCAAUGGUUCAUAUGGAUCAUCCAUGAUGUCAUACCCAUCUCACGGAGGGGGGGGGGCUCAGGAUGAAUCUCCUGCCACGUGACUGGGGGAGUCUGGGGGCUGACGGGGGUCAGACAGGGCUGCUGUUUUGCUCUCCGUACUAUUUCAGCUCAGGUUUUACUGAAAUGGGUGGAUUCAUUGAGGAAACGGGGCUACGUUGCAAAGAGGCAAAUGUGUCUACUUUGUUACCACCCAGUGAGUUGUGUUGCAAAGGCCAUUUGCAGAAAGGCUCCUAUUGUAUCACCUGCAGCUACAUGCCGGAGUUUGGGUGUUUUGUGGAAAUGUGUCUCUAUAAAUGCACUUAUCCCCGUGCGUUUAUAAUGGCAAGACAUUAAAUCCCAUGAGAUGUGCAAACUGGCUGCUUUUGGAAGCACCACUCUGCAGCCCUGCCUGAUGCACGCUUACUUAGGAGUAACCCCUACGCGGUUCAUAGGGAUUCGCUGUUCCAUCUGAUGCACGCUUACUCAGAAGUAAGUCCCCAUAGUCGCCUUUGGCUGGACUUGACCAGGGGUCCUUUACCUUGGGUAACAGGGGCCAGGAGGGGCCAGCCCCAGUCCCUGCUGGCUGGUCACAUCUUCCACGCCAAGAAACUGGGCAGAGCCUUUAGGAGCCUCUGGCUGAACCUGCUGCUCUUCUCCCUGGCACCGCCAUCUCCACGCAGGUGCCCCCGAGGCAGGUUGGCCUGCAGUUCCCCUCAGUGCCAGCCAGCACGAUGCCUGCACUCAGAACACCUGGAGGGCACUGGCUGAAGUCUGGGAGCCCUCGGUGCCAAUGCGCAGCUGCUUUGCUUUUCCUUCGCCUGGCGGACAUCAACACAGCACCCUACAGGGGGGUGGUCUCCUGUUCAGAUGCCCUCCCUGGGGAAGAGUCUUUGGCCACAGGAAAGUGUGCCAGGAGGGGCCAUUGAGAGGGCAGUACAGCACAGCCCGUGGGGAGAGUGCCUUCCUUGGGUGGGGUGGGGGGAGCUUGGAUGGCCCCCUGCCUGUGAUGCUUAGCUGAGAUUACUACUAUGCUGGGGGUUCAACUAGAUGACUCAGGAGGGCCCUCCCUACUUUACAGUUCGAAGCCCCCACACUGCCCACUCCACACCACCCAGAUGGGACUCUCUUGUCCAACCCCACAAGGCCAUUCCUCUGUCUGGACGGGGAGGGGGAGAUAAGGUUCGCCAGCACUGCAGCCCCUAACUUUCAAGCUGGGGCAGAGAUGCAGAUGCUCCAGGGUCUGGGCUGGCCACAGGCCCCCAUGGGCGUGGAUGUUGAGCCUUUCUUUGGGAGGGGGGUGUUAUAGAAAAAUCUAGGUGCGAGGCUGCUCAGUCCCCCAGCUCGUCUGGCUGAGCCCUGCGGGUCCCAGCGGAAUAAAGGGAGGAGUCCAGCCAACCGGAGCAAAUAAAGAGAGAUUGCAAGGAGAGAGAUUGCAAGGAGCUCCAAAGGGACUUCUCCAAACGGGCUGAAUGGGCCGAAAAUACAGUUCAUUGUCAAGGAGAUUAAAGUGAUGC